rnacentral:rRNA from 1 species
UACAGAGGGGGCCAGCGUUAUUCGGAAUUAUUGGGCGUAAAGGGCGCGUAGGCGGCCAUGCGUGUCUUCCGUGAAAUCCCUCGGCUUAACUGAGGACGUGCGGAAGAAACUGCAAGGCUCGAGUCCGGGAGAGGGGGGUGGAAUUCCCAGUGUAGCGGUGAAAUGCGUAGAUAUUGGGAGGAACACCUGAGGUGAAGACGGGUUGCUGGGCCGACACUGACGCUGAUGCGCGAAAGCCAGGGGAGCAAACGGG